AGCGAACGCUGGCGGCAGGCCUAACACAUGCAAGUCGAACGAAGUCUUCGGACUUAGUGGCGGACGGGUGAGUAACACGUGGGAACGUGCCUUUAGGUUCGGAAUAACUCAGGGAAACUUGUACUAAUACCGAAUGUGCCCCUCGGGGGAAAGAUUUAUCGCCUUUAGAGCGGCCCGCGUCUGAUUAGCUAGUUGGUGAGGUAAAGGCUCACCAAGGCGACGAUCAGUAGCUGGUCUGAGAGGAUGAUCAGCCACAUUGGGACUGAGACACGGCCCAAACUCCUACGGGAGGCAGCAGUGGGGAAUCUUGCGCAAUGGGCGAAAGCCUGACGCAGCCAUGCCGCGUGAAUGAUGAAGGUCUUAGGAUUGUAAAAUUCUUUCACCGGGGACGAUAAUGACGGUACCCGGAGAAGAAGCCCCGGCUAACUUCGUGCCAGCCGCCGCGGUAAGAC
rnacentral:rRNA from 1 species